rnacentral:rRNA from 1 species
UAGGGAAUCUUCGGCAAUGGACGAAAGUCUGACCGAGCAACGCCGCGUGAGUGAAGAAGGUUUUCGGAUCGUAAAACUCUGUUGUUAGAGAAGAACAAGUACGUUAGUAACUGAACGUCCCCUGACGGUAUCUAACCAGAAAGCCCCGGCUAACUACGUGCCAGCAGCCGCGGUAAUACGUAGGUGGCAAGCGUUGUCCGGAAUUAUUGGGCGUAAAGCGAGCGCAGGCGGUUUCUUAAGUCUGAUGUGAAAGCCCCCGGCUCAACCGGGGAGGGUCAUUGGAAACUGGGAGACUUGAGUGCAGAAGAGGAGGGUGGAAUUCCAUGUGUAGCGGUGAAAUGCGUAGAUAUAUGGAGGAACACCAGUGGCGAAGGCGGCUCUCUGGUCUGUAACUGACGCUGAGGCUCGAAAGCGUGGGGAGCAAACAGG